GUGGGGAAUAUUGGACAAUGGGCGAAAGCCUGAUCCAGCCAUGCCGCGUGUGUGAAGAAGGUCUUCGGAUUGUAAAGCACUUUAAGUUGGGAGGAAGGGCAGUAAGUUAAUACCUUGCUGUUUUGACGUUACCGACAGAAUAAGCACCGGCUAACUUCGUGCCAGCAGCCGCGGUAAUACGAAGGGUGCAAGCGUUAAUCGGAAUUACUGGGCGUAAAGCGCGCGUAGGUGGUUUUGUAAGUUGGAGGUGAAAUCCCCGGGCUCAACCUGGGAACUGCCUCCAAAAAUGCAUGACUAGAGUACGGUAGAGGGUAGUGGAAUUUCCUGUGUAGCGGUGAAAUGCGUAGAUAUAGGAAGGAACACCAGUGGCGAAGGCGACUACCUGGACUGAUACUGACACUGAGGUGCGAAAGCGUGGGGAGCAAACAGGAUUAGAAACCCGAGUAGUCC
rnacentral:rRNA from 1 species